rnacentral:lncRNA from 1 species
UUCCCUCUGUGUUUUUCAGAAAUCCUGUUUGCAAGGUCAUUAAUCACCUUAUCCAUUAUCCCAGGAACAAAUGGAUUUGUCGCUUGAGCUCAGAAGCCGAGGUUGAUUCUGAAAACAAAUUGUAUCAAAAUAAAUGAAAUUAUUAUGAUAAUAUAAAAUAGACCACAGUGAUUAAUCUCCAGAAACCAAAUUUUGACCUGUUUUGCACUUCAAAACAAUAGCUUCUGUUAUGUAAAUACUUGUGGGGUUUUCAAGGACAACAUUUACUAAAUUACAAGAAAAGUUCUUUUCGUGAAAAAUCUCCCCGUGGAUAAACAUUAGAGAUAGAAAAUCCGGUCUACACAACACCCAAGGCAGAGGACAAUGGAAGUGAUGGUGGUUCAGGAAGAAAGUCACUGUGUUAGAUUGGCAGGGGACAUCUUCAUGGAGAAGUUGGGAAUCAAAUUGGCCCUUAGAAGAUAUCGUGGAAGGUGUACUUGAUAGGAGAUGUUGGUAUCUGAAGGAGCAGACAAGAGAAGGAAAAGUCAAAGCCAUUGGAGAAAAACAUAAGUUAGUAAUGUCUGACUUUUAGUCCUCUGUUCAAAUCUGUUCUCUGUUUCCAAGGAUACCUUAGGAUAAAUUUAUCUUGUUUCUGGUAGAUAUCAUUCAGGUAGCCUCCAUAGGGAAAGACAGGGUCAUUAUUUUGGCCAGGUGACCAGAGUAGCUACUUGCAAGAAUGAACAAAGUGUAAGUAGUAACAAUGUUCAGUUUUUAAUUGAGCAAAAGGAAA